AUUCAGCUGACGAGUCCUAAAUAGGACGAAACGCGCGUCAAACUAGAU
rnacentral:hammerhead_ribozyme from 1 species